AGUGAACGCUGGCGGUAGGCCUAACACAUGCAAGUCGAACGGCAGCACAGUAAGAGCUUGCUCUUACGGGUGGCGAGUGGCGGACGGGUGAGGAAUACAUCGGAAUCUACUUUUUCGUGGGGGAUAACGUAGGGAAACUUACGCUAAUACCGCAUACGACCUACGGGUGAAAGCAGGGGAUCUUCGGACCUUGCGCGAUUGAAUGAGCCGAUGUCGGAUUAGCUAGUUGGCGGGGUAAAGGCCCACCAAGGCGACGAUCCGUAGCUGGUCUGAGAGGAUGAUCAGCCACACUGAACCUGGAACACGGUCCGACCUCCUCCGGGAGGCAGCAGUGGGGAAUAUUGGACAAUGGGCGCAGGCCUGAUCCCGCCAUCCCGCGUGGGUGAAGAAGGCCUUCGGGUUGUAAAGCCCUUUUGUUGGGAAAGAAAAGCAGCAGGUUAAUACCCCGCUGUUCUGACGGUACCCAAAGAAUAAGCACCGGCUAACUUCGU
rnacentral:rRNA from 1 species